GCAGUAGCCGCGGGAAUACGGAGGGUGCAAGCGUUAAUCGGAAUUACUGGGCGUAAAGCGUGCGUAGGCGGUUCGUUAAGUCUGUUGUGAAAGCCCCGGGCUCAACCUGGGAAUGGCAAUGGAUACUGGCGAGCUAGAGUGUGUCAGAGGAUGGUGGAAUUCCCGGUGUAGCGGUGAAAUGCGUAGAGAUCGGGAGGAACAUCAGUGGCGAAGGCGGCCAUCUGGGACAACACUGACGCUGAGGCACGAAAGCGUGGGGAGCAAACAGGAUUAGAUACCCCGGUAGUCCCUGUCUCUUAUAC
rnacentral:rRNA from 1 species